rnacentral:SRP_RNA from 1 species
GCUGAGCUCAGUAACGCGAGCUUGUAACUCUUGUGAGGGCUUUGAAGCGGUGGAACGUUGGUUUAAACUAUUGGGUCGGGUCUAUGUUGGCAAUCUGCUGGCCUGCCCAUGUCAAGCCGAGAGCUGAGUCUUGUGAUCUUGGCGAAGGCUUGGGUCACUCUACUCCUGCAGAGGAGGGCACUGCGUGAGGCUGGUCUAACAGAGCAGCGAGUACCUCCCGCUCUCGACAGUGGUGGAUAACAGGCUGGUGCCUAUUGGGCCCAUCAUGGCUCCAUGGUUUGACCUCAAUUGAACCAUCACUUUU